GGAGAGUUGUUUGAAAGGAAUGGAUUGUAGGACGGGGAAGGGGAGGUCUUGAUGGUCCUAUGGUGUAAAUUUGGGACGGUUUGGGAUUGGGUCGCCGGAGACAGUUGUUCCGGUGAACCUUGUUCUGAAUAUUCGAGUAGAUCUGUGUUCACUCAAAAGAAACUAACUACAGGAAGGGGAAGAGGGGGUCAUGGUGGUCUGGUGGUGUAAAGUUGGGGUGGUUUGGUGACCGGCCACUGCCGUGAGGCUAUUUCCGGCGGCGGCGAAAUAGGGUGGUUGCUGGGUGGUCAAGGGCGGUCAAAGGGUGGUCAUAAGGCAGUCAAGGGGAGGGGAUACACCGGAGUGUAUG
rnacentral:lncRNA from 1 species